AACGAACGCUGGCGGCAUGCCUAACACAUGCAAGUCGAACGAGACCUUCGGGUCUAGUGGCGCACGGGUGCGUAACGCGUGGGAACCUGCCCUUAGGUUCGGAAUAACUCCCCGAAAGGGGUGCUAAUACCGGAUAAUGUCUUCGGACCAAAGAUUUAUCGCCUUUGGAUGGGCCCGCGUUGGAUUAGCUAGUUGGUAGGGUAAAAACCUACCAAGGCGACGAUCCAUAGCUGGUCUGAGAGGAUGAUCAGCCACACUGGGACUGAGACACGGCCCAGACUCCUACGGGGGGCAGCAGUGGGGAAUAUUGGACAAUGGGCGAAAGCCUGAUCCAGCAAUGCCGCGUGAGUGAUGAAGGCCUUAGGGUUGUAAAGCUCUUUUACCCGGGAUGAUAAUGACAGUACCGGGAGAAUAAGCUCCGGCUAACUCCGUG
rnacentral:rRNA from 1 species